AAAAGGCGCCACCCUUUCAACCAAAUCUCUCCUCAAGUCUCUCUCUAAUUAUCUCUCCCGUCGAAACCAUGGCCGAAAGAGACACCGACCCUAGCGAUAGAUGGAAUAGUUACUCAAAUGUUUGUGGACAUGCUUUGGAAGGCAAGGCUGUUCACUGGGGACAGUUUGAUGUUAAUAAUCUCAAAACCUUUCAAAGAAGAAAAAUUCUACACUGUUCUUGGGGAUUUGAAAGCCAGUGGUUACAAAGUUUUCUUAGAACAACCUGAUUCUAUGGCCACAUUUGGAAGCUGCAUGUGGUCUGCUAAUAAAAGCUUCAUUGAUGGAGGUGGCCAAGGAUAAUGAAAAUUUUAAAGAUGAGUAAGAGAAAGAAGAAACUCUCACUGAAGAAUGGAGAAGACUCAUCUUCAGAGGGCAGUAAAGAAAGGAAGAAGCACAAGCUAUCGAAAAUGUCAGUCACACGGGAAGAAAUGAACACAAGCGUGAAUUCCAGCUUCGGAAAACAAGUUCAAUGUUCUCUCCUCCAAUGCCACUAAAAGAUGGUCUGGCCUAUUGGUUAUGACUUGAAUCAACCAAAGAAGAUUACUUUUGUGCGGUUGAAAUAUUAAUACUAGCUUAACGGUUCCACUUAGGUUUUAGCUUUCUUCUUGAUGUGUCCCCUUACCACUAUUGUGACGGUUUCAAGUUUCUCUGGGGACAGUUGUGAUACUUUAUGAUGAUCCUGUUUCUAGCAUCAUUCUUGGUUUGUUCA